UGUUUGCAGCCGCUGCUGAGAUACCCACAAAGAGAGUUCUAGAAGGUUCUCGGCACUCUGGCCCCUGCUUUCCUGGCUGCCACGGAGACACAGCCGACCCGGAGGGUCAUUAACUCAGCCGGCCAUCGUGUCCCUCUGUGCCUUGUGCUUCGGGGCGGCAUGCCUGGAGGCAGGAGGGGGACAGCCAGAGAGAGGGGGAGCGUGGACAGCAGGGAGCCCAGCCUGGCCUCCAAGCCCCGCCAACCGCCAACCGGGCUGAGUCUGGGCUUCAUCCUGCAGGAGGGGGUAAGUUCGGAAGCAAGAGCCCAGGAAGGAUGACUCUGGAGGAGAGGGCCUGAGGGGUCCUUUGGGCCAGGAUCCGUCUCCUCCAGAACCCGGCAGGUGGUGUCCCUGAUGUGGACACACCUUCACAGGUGCCCUGCUGACGCCCAGGUGAGAAUGAAAUGGUUAUAAGUAGCAGAAGCCAACUUGAGCCAGUUCACGCAGGAAAGGACAAGUCACUGAAACCGUGGCUGCAGGAACGUGACGAAAUCGGGGGCUGGAAGGUAUCGGGAGUGUCUCUCCAUGUCUCAUCUCUGUGUCCACAACCACUCUACUUUUCUUGCUCUGUGUGCAGAGUCACAAAAUUAAAUCAAAUAAUCAUUUGAUAAUAAUGCCUUAGCAUUAUUUUUCACGUGGUCAAGAGGUCGGCCCAGAAG